GCGGCAACCCCCGUGGACGCUGGCUCGCUUGGUUGGAGGAGUUUGAAAAUCGAGGGCUGAGGGAAAAGUUGGCUUCAGGUUACUUCAUAAGAUGUUCCUACAGAUCACAAAACAUGCCGACAAGAA